UCAUCCAGGAUGCAGAAUGAGUUAUUUUUCACCCAAGGUAAUGUUACGAUCGCUUUCUAAAUAAAUUACAUUUAUAACAUAAAUAGUUACAUGCAUAUUGAUUCAAUAUGUAAAAUUUGGUAUAAAAAACCAACAAUAAAGGUUAUAAGACCAGAAAAAUCACAUUUUAUGUAUAUUUUACACUAUAUUUUUACAUCCAUAAUUUUACGCAACAUAAAAUAUUUUUUACAGUGAGUACAUAUUUUCCUACGUUCUUUUUUUAUGUAUGAAAUAAGACAAAAAUUACGAAACGUAAAAAAACGGUGCAUUAAUGUCAAAAUAGAGAGGAGAUGAAGAAUAACUAUUCCCCAUCCAGGGUGACGAAUAACGCGAGUGUUACUAUUCAUUGAAAUUUUUUAGAUUUCCUUUCAUUUUGUACACAUUAUUUCCGUAAUAUUUUUGGCCAGCAACAUCAAAAGUAAUGAUACCAACAUAGGUUUCAUUGUGCAAAAGUGCAUAUUUUUUUUUGCAAGAAAGAACUUAUAUUACUCAACCAGAAUGUUUACAAUCAGCGAUUGCAUCUGUCCUCAACAUCGACAGGACCAUGCCAUAACCAAACUGCUAUACGCCCACCAUGUCUAGCACAGCUGGCUAAGAAAUGGCUUAAUAGAGUUUUGGUUGCGGCUAAUAUGAGUAAUACAAGUCUGACAAGAUUUUCUCAAUCGUGGUCAUAUGUGCAGAUAGAUUAGUAGUCAUCUGAUGCACCACUAGUUUAUUAAAUAAUUUUACGCCUAGUUUUACAGAGAACACACACAUGCACGCAACCACAUGCACACGUACACAUGAACACGCCCGCAUACGCAUGCGCACGCGCGCGCACACACAAAAUAUUUUCGUCUGUAUAUACGUACAAACAUUAGCUUCCUUGUCCAAGACUAAUACAGUUUUUCUGAAAGUAAUUACCAUAAAAAUUGCUGCAUGUGCAGCAACACCGACUAUUAGAAAUCCGCCAAUCCACAUGUGGUGUGUGAACAAGGAAAGUUGUGUACCAUAGUAGCUAGGUAUGGAUAGGGAGGCAUAGAAUACAUAUGAUGAGCUACAACAAUGGUUGUAGAGCCUAGCAUAGCUAGGUUAAGAGAUAAUUGAGCAUGCCAUGACGUUGUUAACGUUAUGUUUAUGGAUAAUAGUGUAUGCAUGAGCCUAAGGUAUUUGUUGGGUAAAUAUUGCACUUGCAUAUGUUGCAACUAUACAAUAUACUUUUGCACUGUCAUUUUUAGUUCUCUUUGACUUCGACAGUAAGCUAUUGUUAGUUUCUCUGAUAUCUUGAAGUAGGUUUGGAAAACAGAGUAGCUUAUGUUUAGCCCUUAGAUUUGUCAUACUUAUCAUUAGCUAGCAAAUAUAACAUAUGUGGAUUUGUUUCUCCUUUGUAAAUGUGACCUCAGUGAGAUUAAACAUACAUUUAUAUAGCUAGAUACUUACCAUUAUCAAGUAGAUAUGAUUUGUAUCACAUGUUCUUAUUUGCUUCCAUUAUCUUGUAAGUUCAUUCCAUGGGCUAAGUCAAAUCACUCUGAGGGCGAUGAGGCGACAAAACAUGAAGCACGCCGUAGAGGGUGAUGAGGCGGUGACCCUGCCGCCUCCUCCCGAUCCUCCACCCGCGCAACUUCGGGUGACGACGCCGGGGGUUCUGGAGAAGUCGCCAGGAGCGGAACUAAGUGGAUCUCCCCUUUCAACGGCAGAUUGGGAUCGGGUCUCGGGGUUUCUGAAUCCUGCGAGAUGGCGGAUCCGUUUCAAGGACGUUCGAGAGGCAAUGUGUGAGGAAGAAGGAUGGAGAGAGGGAAUCCUAUAUGCUCACUCUCCGUCGAGAUGGACAGUGGCCAGAGACCAAGAUGGAGACAUACUCGUCGGGCGAUAUCUGGACGCCGGCGAGCAAAUUUUCGAUGGUAAGCGCUACAUCAUUGACGUUUACGAGGUUCUUGUUGUUGAUUGCGUGCAGGACCCAUUAAACUUGGAGGAGCCGAUCAAGAUGGUGGAUCUUACUUCCGAACCUGAACGCUCGCGGCCGGAGCCACGGGUUGGGGGUAGGUUCUAGGUUCUUGCGACGAGGAAGAUGAUGACUCUAGAGAUCUACGGACGUCUGAAUGCAAGAGGGAGGCGCUGUCUGUGCCGCGGUCCGCGACGUCGGGCCUCGCCGCAGGGCCCCCAGAGGGUGUGCAUUUGGUGAGAGGCGCAAUGACAUGAUAAUUUUCGGGCCAAAGCCGGCGACACUCUGCAGACCGUCAUCAUUGAAGAUGAAGCCAUGGUCGGGCCCCCUUCCCUAGGUAAGUGUGCCACAUGUGACGUUGUCUGACUUCUUCCCACCGGAGGGGUGGACGAAAGUCUCUAGAAAGAAGAAGAAGAUGGCCCUCCCGGCGGUGACCUAUCCGGCGGCGGCUGCCGCCGGGUCAGGCGUGAUCCAGGUGUCGAGGAAGGAGCGUUUGAAUCAGCUGUUAGGCCUCGGUGGGCCAAGAGUGGCUGAUUUGGUUUUGGGGUCAGGUGGCGCUGGGUAUGAGGCCCAGUGCACGACCGAGAAGAAGUCCGACUUGUUGGGUGUGGCCCAGGUCGUUUUGCGUGGGCCUGCCUCGGUUCACGAGACCGGAUCAUGGUGAACGUGACUCAUGAUCGCACGGGAGUUAGGGUUCGCCGGGUAGCUCGACCUGGCUUCCCUAAGCUUUCGCAGGGACGAGCUGCCAGACUUCCUGCUUCGUCUCUAAAGGUUUCGGCAGCCAUGGCUGGUCGCGGGGGUGGUUUUCCUCCUUAGAAAUCUGCGCCCCCGCCACCUAAGACCACGCCGCCUGCUCUGCUCCGCUGCCGCAGCCAGUGGCAGAGACAGGGGGGACCAGCAAGGGCCCUGGCCCCCCUAACAUCAUUGUGUUAAGCCUAAUACUCAUGUUCAUAGAAGAUUAUUUGCUGCUAAAAUGGUGUAUUCAAGUGGACUGGCCCUCCUUAACAAGGAAUAUGAACACUCGGCCCUUCUCAUUGGAUUUUCCUGGCUCCGCCACUGGUCGCAGCACAGGGCUGCUCCGCCGCAACUUCAGGUUGCACCGCCGCCGCACAAGGUCGCGCAAUCGGUGCCAAGGGGAGUGCAAGAUUUUGGCGAUGCUAGGCCUCCUCCUCCAGCGGUGGCUCGAGGACGAGGGUCUGCGGGGGCCAGAGAGUUUGGAGGGGAUGCACAUGGAGGCCGAGUUCCUCCCCAUGGCCAGUGGGGCGAUGAUGGUUACAAUGCUUAUGGAGGUGGACAGCACCGGGGCUCGUCGUCAUCGGGAGGCGGCCGCGGCUAUGCUUGGUCCGUGGAGGUUAUCGGGGCUUCCGUGGCGGCAGGGGGUAGCAGGCGGCCGCCAACACUACCAACGCCCUCCUCCUCCAUCGUCUACUGCGGACGUCGAGAACUCCGUCGCGCUGGUGGCCUCUUCGGGGACGAUGGCAGGAGCCAACCCCACAACCUUGAUGGGUUAGGCCUUGUCCGUGGUGUCCACGCUCGCAACCGCGGAGACGCCAGCGGGCGAUCCUUCUAUGUUGAAGGGUCAGGAUAUGGCGAGUGACAAAGCUUCGGACAAGUCGGAUGGUGAUAGGGCCUCAAGUGGGCUCGCAAGAAAGAGAAAAUGCCUUGUUAUCGGUGCAGUGAACAAGGACACUUCAUUGCUGAGUGCACAACGGAGCUUUGUGACACUUGCCAUAAACCUGUGCAUGCAUCAGGAGGAUGUCCGAUGUUGCUGGAGCCGAUCCAGGGGUCACUUUUUACGAGGUUUGUUGCUCUGAGUUGAUGUUUUCUGAGUCACCUAGUGCUUUACCUGUCCCGAACACGCCGCAGGUCUCGACUACGGGAGUGGUCAAAGUGACGAAGGGCUAUCUGUCAGAGACACAGAUUGUGUAGAGGCUAAAUGAGCUUGCUCUGGGAAACUCUCAUUGGGAGCUUAUCAGAAUUGAGGAUAAAUUGUAUAAAGUAGAUUUCCCUACGACAGAGGAUCUGAAGAAGCUCCUUAAGUUUGGCAUGUGCAGGGUGCCAGGCACUGAUUGUAUUCUUUAGUUUGAUGAGUGGAAACAAACUGAGCCACAGGGGACACCACUA